rnacentral:rRNA from 1 species
AUGGUUAAGCUACUAAGAGCACACGGAGGAUGCCUAGGCACUAGGAGUCGAUGAAGGACGUGGCGAACAACGAAACUGCCUCGGGGAGCUGUAAGCAAGCUUUGAUCCGGGGGUGUCCGAAUGGGGAAACCCGGCUGUGGUAAUACGCAGUCACUCAUUUCUGAAUACAUAGGAAAUGUAGAGACAGACCAGGGGAACUGAAACAUCUAAGUACCCUGAGGAAGAGAAAACAAUAGUGAUUCCGUCAGUAGCGGCGAGCGAACGCGGAUUAGCCCAAACCAAGGAGCUUGCUCUUUGGGGUUGUGGGACAUCUCACAUGGAGUUACAAAGGAUUGGGUUAGGUGAAGAGGUCUGGAAAGGCCCGGCAUAGAAGGUAAAAGCCCUGUAACCAAAAGU